UACAGAGGGGGCAAGCGUUGUUCGGAAUUACUGGGAGUAAAGGGUGCGUAGGCGGCGCGGUAAGUCGGGUGUGAAAUUUCGAGGCUUAACUUCGAAACUGCAUUCGAUACUGCCGUGCUUGAGGACUGGAGAGGAGACUGGAAUUUACGGUGUAGCGGUGAAAUGCGUAGAUAUCGUAAGGAAGACCAGUGGCGAAGGCGGGUCUCUGGACAGUUCCUGACGCUGAGGCACGAAGGCCAGGGGAGCAAACGGG
rnacentral:rRNA from 1 species